rnacentral:rRNA from 2 species
UMGAACGAACUCUGGUAUUGAUUGGUGCUUGCAUCAUGAUUUACAUUUGAGUGAGUGGCGAACUGGUGAGUAACACGUGGGAAACCUGCCCRGAAGCGGGGGAUAACACCUGGAAACAGAUGCUAAUACCGCAUAACAACUUGGACCGCAUGGUCCGAGYUUGAAAGAUGGCUUCGGCUAUCACUUYUGGAUGGUCCCGCGGCGUAUUAGCUAGAUGGUGAGGUAACGGCUCACCAUGGCAAUGAUACGUAGCCGACCUGAGAGGGUAAUCGGCCACAUUGGGACUGAGACACGGCCCAAACUCCUACGGGAGGCAGCAGUAGGGAAUCUUCCACAAUGGACGAAAGUCUGAUGGAGCAACGCCGCGUGAGUGAAGAAGGGUUUCGGCUCGUAAAACUCUGUUGUUAAAGAAGAACAUAUCUGAGAGUAACUGUUCAGGUAUUGACGGUAUUUAACCAGAAAGCCACGGCUAACUACGUGCCAGCMGCCGCGGUAAU